CAGUAGCCGCGGUAAUACGUAGGGUGCAAGCGUUAAUCGGAAUUACUGGGCGUAAAGCGUGCGCAGGCGGUUUGUUAAGACAGAUGUGAAAUCCCCGGGCUCAACCUGGGAACUGCAUUUGUGACUGGCAAGCUAGAGUGUGGCAGAGGGGGGUGGAAUUCCGCGUGUAGCAGUGAAAUGCGUAGAUAUGCGGAGGAACACCGAUGGCGAAGGCAGCCCCCUGGGCCAACACUGACGCUCAUGCACGAAAGCGUGGGGAGCAAACAGGAUUAGAUACCCCGGUAGUCCCUGUCUCUUAUAC
rnacentral:rRNA from 1 species